GCCGAAGGGAGCGGCUGGAAUGGCGCAGAGCGGAAAGGAAAGGCGAGGGGAUCAUAGAGUCCGGAGCGCCAGGAGGGAGUGGCCCUAUGCGCUGGCUGCCACUGGGCGGCCAUUUUGAAGGCGAACCAAGCUGAGGCCGGGUGGGGGUCUCCGGGUCGGCUCGAGGGGCUUAUCCCCAAGGCGGAAAAAAGCGCCCACGAAUCUCUCUCCGAUGCCAGAGAAGCCGCUUCAGUUCGGAAAGGCCGUUUGGUCCCUGCGGCUCUCGUCUUCCCGCGGGACUCCAAGACCCAUCAUCCACAGCCCGGGCCGCCUCCCGCUCUGUAAACGGGGGGGGGGAAUGGAGGGGUUUACAGUGCCUACCUGGAGGAUGGGCUGCAUCCCUCUUCCUCCGCCGCCGGAACAGGUGACCAGACUGACUUCCUCGUGGGUGCAGCAUGAUGGGUCCGGAAGUCGGAAAGUUUUGGGAAAGAUGGAGGCCUCGAAGCGCGGCUGGGUUGUGAGAAGAAAGUCCAAUUCCGUCUCUUGCACAGCUGUAUCCAGACCCGCCUCCCUCUCCCUGGGGCUUGCGGAUCAGGUUCAAGCGCACGAAGCUCCCCAUCAUCCACAGCCGGGCCUGGCUGCCUGCCUUGGCCAAACCAGAAAAGAAAAAUGGAAGUCAGGAAUGGCCUCCCCAAAUGAUUCCUCUUUGGUUGAGCAAAAGUCUUGCAAAAAUACACUCACCCUGAAUCUAUCAGGAAGGUCCACACAUUUCUCAUGGAUUAAACCAUGUCAGGAUUUAUUCUUUUAUCUCCCUGUAUCAGUUCAUCAGUCCAUUGAUGCAAAACAGAAAAGAAAUCUGCCUUUUUUUACACAAUUGGUCAGUAAUUGUCUUCCUCUUACCUCCAGCUUUUCAUUUCACUAUUGAUAAUUCAGGAAUCAAUUCACAUGCAAUCAAGUGGAUUGUAGCUCACCAAAGUUGUCUUUUAGAUGCCAUUUCCCUAAUUUCCAUAUUUUGGAUAAUUUGUGUAUCAAAUAGCAACAUUUAUAUCAAUUCUAAUACAUGAAGUUAGUACAGUUGCCAUAAACCUACUUUCUUCAGAUCUGUGGCAUCUCAACAAAUGUGAUCUGUUGCCAGCAUUGUCAUCUUUAGGACACCAGCUGGAGAAGACUGAUGCAUAUUUGUAAUGCUAAUUAUAUGAGCAAUGGUGAAAUAAUCUCUCCGUUGACAUGAGAAGAAAGGUUUAUCUGCUAUACUAAUAUUGCCGUAGACAGGAAUUACUUUUAAAUGAAGAAACGCUGUCAGGUUUUGGACCAGAUGAGCAGAAAAGAGGAUCUUUUAAGUUUUGUUUGUGAAAUACACAAAAUAUUUAAAAUAUCUAAUUCAAAUGUGAAACAGUUUCGAUCUUCCCCAUUUUAAAUUUGAAAUGUUUUGCAUAUCCUUUUUAUCUUUUCUGGUAUUGCUCUAGUAUUUCAGCUUUCUGUGUGCUGGCAUAUAUUCUAAAACAGUGGAACAGUUGUUGCAGAUGUAAGGAUGCUUUGAUUUGUAGCUUGAACUAAUGUGCUCCAGAUUAAAUUGACCAUCUCUUAA